rnacentral:rRNA from 1 species
GAGACUGGAAUUCCUGGUGUAGCGGUGGAAUGCGCAGAUAUCAGGAGGAACACCGAUGGCGAAGGCAGGUCUCUGGGCCGCAACUGACGCUGAGGAGCGAAAGCAUGGGGAGCGAACAGGAUUAGAUACCCUGGUAGUCCAUGCCGUAAACGUUGGGCACUAGGUGUGGGGCUCAUUCCACGAGUUCCGUGCCGCAGCAAACGCAUUAAGUGCCCCGCCUGGGGAGUACGGCCGCAAGGCUAAAACUCAAAGGAAUUGACGGGGGCCCGCACAAGCGGCGGAGCAUGCGGAUUAAUUCGAUGCAACGCGAAGAACCUUACCAAGGCUUGACAUGCACGAGAAGCCACCAGAGAUGGUGGUCUCUUUGGACACUCGUGCACAGGUGGUGCAUGGUUGUCGUCAGCUCGUGUCGUGAGAUGUUGGGUUAAGUCCCGCAACGAGCGCAACCCUCGUCCCAUGUUGCCAGCGGGUUAUGCCGGGGACUCAUGGGAGACUGCCGGGGUCAACUCGGAGGAAGGUGGGGAUGACGUCAAAUCAUCAUGCCCCUUAUGUCUUGGGCUUCACGCAUGCUACAAUGGCCGGUACAAAGGGCUGCGAUACCGUAAGGUGGAGCGAAUCCCAAAAAGCCGGUCUCAGUUCGGAUUGGGGUCUGCAACUCGACCCCAUGAAGUCGGAGUCGCUAGUAAUCGCAGAUCAGCAACGCUGCGGUGAAUACGUUCCCGGGCCUUGUACACACCGCCCGUCAAGUCACGAAAGUCGGUAACACCCGAAGCCCAUGGCCCAACCGUUCGCGGGGGGAGUGGUCGACGAAAGAUACACACUCCC